rfam:Rhizopus microsporus genome assembly, contig: SCAF977
GCUUCCUUGGCUCAGCCGGUAGAGCGUCAGUCUCAUAAUCUGAAGGUCGUGAGUUCGAUCCUCACAGGGAGCA